UAUUAGCCUCCUCCGCAGGCAUCUCACCCGACGAAUCGGGUGGUGGGAAAAAGUUUGGUGAGAUGCCUGCCAUAAAUCGACACAAAAAUUUGCACUGCGCAUACCGGCUCGCGCAUGCAAAUUUCGACAAACUCAAACUUAGGGGGAGUAGGAAGGGCUUACGGCAAGGAGUGAAGAAAAUUUUGUUUUCAACACGAUGGCCUACAAGACGAGUAAAACUGUAAAAUUAACGAAUAAUCCUGCUCUUCAACAUUGCAAAUACAAAGGGAACUUUGACUAAGGAGCUGAGAACGUUAUCGAAAGCCGACGCAGCGAUUUACUUGGAUUGUUUAGAGAUAACGAGUGACUUUGCAGAGCAGUGAAUUCACAAUGUCGUCGAUUCAUGUCAAGACAAGGUUUCAAUUGAAAGUUUAUCGUUGAUAUAUGCAAAUUUCUAUUCAAAUUGUUGACGACAUUUUAUAUCAUAAUAAGCUGAAAGUGCAGUGAUUUAGUCGAAAUUGUAACACGAAAAGGAACGAUCGAAAAUUGUUAAUAUAUAAAUGUAAAUUCAACUGUUGACAUCUGUGACUGUGCCUGCGUAUAGGAAGUGGAUAUUCGUCCGACAUUUCCAUAUCGUUAAAGUCGUUAAAAAUAAAACAGCGUAAAUUUAGUUGAAUUUCAAGCCAAUCCUUCGUAGUGUAGUGGUUUAGGCACCCGUAUUGUGUGCGCCAAGUUCUGGGAUCGAUUCCUGCUCGCGCCACUAUUUUAUUAUUUUUUUUUAUACUUUUUUUUUUCUUCGUGAUUUUCGCUUACGCACCGCGUACGAAACGUAUAGCGUAUCGAAUAUGUUGUUGCUUCGUUCUUAAGAAACAACGCAACCCUUUUAGUGGUUUAGUUUUAGCUUUUAAAGCGUUGUCGGAUG